CUUCACCGAGCCGAGCCACAACGGCCGGUCCGUCGACCGGCCCUGGCCGUAGGUGGCCAGCAGGGCCUGCGCCUC
rnacentral:antisense_RNA from 1 species